UGGCUCAGGACGAACGCUGGCGGCGUGCUUAACACAUGCAAGUCGAGCGAUGAAGCUCCUUCGGGAGUGGAUUAGCGGCGGACGGGUGAGUAACACGUGGGUAACCUGCCUCAUAGAGGGGAAUAGCCUUUCGAAAGGAAGAUUAAUACCGCAUAAGAUUGUAGUACUGCAUGGUACAGCAAUUAAAGGAGUAAUCCGCUAUGAGAUGGACCCGCGUCGCAUUAGCUAGUUGGUGAGGUAACGGCUCACCAAGGCGACGAUGCGUAGCCGACCUGAGAGGGUGAUCGGCCACAUUGGGACUGAGACACGGCCCAGACUCCUACGGGAGGCAGCAGUGGGGAAUAUUGCACAAUGGGGGAAACCCUGAUGCCAGCAACGCCGCGUGAGUGAUGACGGCCUUCGGGUUGUAAAACUCUGUCUUUGGGGACGAUAAUGACGGUACCCAAGGAGGAAGCCACGGCUAACUACGUGCCAGCAGCAGC
rnacentral:rRNA from 1 species